GCGAGAAUGGCGGAACUGGCAGACGCGCUGGAUUUAGGUUCCAGUGUCUAAGACGUAGGGGUUCGAGUCCCCUUUCUCGCACCA
rnacentral:tRNA from 1 species